UAAGGAAUAUUGGUCAAUGGACGGAAGUCUGAACCAGCCAUGCCGCGUGAAGGAUGAAGGUCCUCUGGAUUGUAAACUUCUUUUAUAGGGGGCGAAAAAGGGCCUUUUCAGGUCAACUGACGGUACCCUAUGAAUAAGCACCGGCUAACUCCGUGCCAGCAGCCGCGGUAAUACGGAGGGUGCAAGCGUUAUCCGGAUUUACUGGGUUUAAAGGGAGCGUAGGCGGGUAUGUAAGUCAGUGGUGAAAGCCCUCAGCUUAACUGAGGAAUUGCCGUUGAUACUAUAUAUCUUGAAUAUCGUUGAGGUUUGCGGAAUAGGUCAUGUAGCGGUGAAAUGCUUAGAUAUGACCUGGAACACCUAUUGCGAAGGCAGCAGGCUAAACGAUGAUUGACGCUGAGGC
rnacentral:rRNA from 1 species